rnacentral:tRNA from 1 species
CUGCCUGUGGCCUAGUGGGCAAGGUUACAGUCUUGGGGACUAGGGGUCGUAGGUUCAAACCCAGCUAGGAACA